CACAUAUCCGUUACAAAAUUUUCCUCCUUUCAUUCAAAACUUCAAAUUUCAAACGGCUCUCUUCCCUGAUAACAAUCCACAACAGCAGCUCAAACCCCAAACUCUCAAAUCUAUCACUCUCUCUCUCUCUCUAGCUUCUAUUGCCAAUUUCUGUUUCCGAAAACCAGUUAUCUGAAAUCAUUUCCGCUUUCAAGAAUCGACGAGUGAUCUAUUUCGCCUAAAUGGGCACUUCAGGGAAAUGGCUCAAGUCUCUAAUCACUCUCAAAAAGCUCCCAUCGACAGACCUCGUAAUCUUCCCUUCACCAAAUCAUUUAUGUUUGUUUUUCUGUGUGCAUAUGUUUCAUUUCUCUGCUUUUCUCUUCACAGGGAAAACAGAGCGACAGUAAGGGUAAGAAGAAAUGGAGGUUAUGGAGGAGCUCAUCGGAGGGGUUCUUACCACCAUUAUCGAAGGGAUUGAAAAGGGAUCAUGUAUCAUCGGCGGAGUCUUCCCUUGUCCUUGAUCAUGCGUUCGCAGCUGCCAUGGCUACUGUUGUCAGAGCUCCGCCGAGGGAUUUCAUGGUCGUCAAGCAAGAAUGGGCCGCGAUCCGGAUCCAAACAGCUUUUCGAGGCUUGUUGGUAAAUUGGGUUUCUUUUAUGUAGCCAUUCCUUAUUCUCUUUAACUAUGAUGUUCAUGAAUUGGUUUUUUUGUAGGUAUUUGCAGGUUUUAAGCUUAGGGUUAUUUUACAGUUUUAGGGUUUGUAGGUGUUCUAUUUGUAAGUUUGUGCCCCAAGAAACUCCAAAAUUAGCAUUCCAGCAUCAGUUUUCAAUUCUCUGAGCUAAUUUUGGGUGGUCCGUGUGUGCAGUUGAGCUUAUUUGCUCUCUAGAAUCGCCUAAUUUUUUGUCAUUACAGGAACCAUUCAAUAGUUUAAAGCAGGCUAUAGAUUGCUGACUUUCAAAUUAGGGGUCUUUUGACUAGGCUCUAGUUAUUCUUAAGAACUGACAAUUAAAAGAACAAGAAGAUGAAAAUUUAAAAAUUAAUAAGACACUGGACUGUAAUAGAUGAUUAUUUUUAAAAAAUGCAAAGUGCAUUAUUGUUUUGUUGCUUAGGUAAACUAAUAAAGAUGAAAGAACAUUUAAUCGUGGGUUCUUAAAAAUUUCGUUACCUGUAAUUUACACUUAAAAUAUGUAAUCUGUUUUGCUAGGUUGAGCGUGAACCCAUUUUUUUUUCUUUAAAAAAUAGAGUGAAUAGAGAAUUCUGUUUUUUCAAAUUCAUUUCCUCUACUUUCCAAGGGAAGAAUCACUUCUAAAUUGUUUCUUUUCCAAAUAAUCUCAUAAUUUGCUUGAUGAAUCAUCAUUAGCAAUCCUCAUUCUCAUGGAUUAGGAUGCUAGGUUAUAAAACUAGUACACCCUCAGAAUCAUAUGAUAGUUGUAAAGUACUUGUUCAAUUUGAUGUUUUCUUUGUAAUUUGAUUGGUUAUAUGAAACAAUGGGGCUGUGAUUCAGAAUUUCUUUUCUUUCUAGUGACAUUUUCUUUUGUUUGUGGGGAUUUAUGGAUAAUUGCAGGCAAGACGGGCUUUGAGGGCCUUGAAAGCAGUGGUGAGGAUCCAAGCUAUAUUUCGUGGUCGGCAAGUCCGAAAGCAGGCUGCUGUGACACUGAGGUGCAUGCAAGCUCUUGUCAGGGUUCAGGCUCGAGUGAGAGCACAGGGUGCAAGAACGUCUUCAGAAGGCCAAGCUUUGCAGAAUUUAUUGGAUGAAUACCACAUGGUUGAUCCCACCAAGCAGGCUGAGCAAGGAUGGUGCGAUCGUCUGGGGACUGUGGAUGAAGUUAGAGCAAAGUUACAAAUGAAGAAAGAAGGAGCCAUCAAGAGGGAAAGAGCAAUUGCAUACUCCCUCUCCCAACAGCAAUCAAGAUCAUGUGCAAGCCCAGCUAGAAAAACAAACAAGUCGGCAUCAGCUAUCAGGAAUCAAAAGCUGGAUAACAACAGCCCUGGGUGGAGCUGGCUAGAACGGUGGAUGGCAGCCAAGCCAUGGGAAAACCGAUUGAUGGAAGAAAUUCAUACCGACUCAUCAGAGACUCCAUUUUCCAGGAAAAGUGAAGAUAACAUUGCCAAUAUCUAUUCAUAUCCGUUGAUACAUGACUCCGUAAAGGUGAGAAAAAACAAUAUGUCAACAAGAAUUCUUGCUAAACCUUCUGUGGUCAGUCAGCAGAUUACCCGCUCAUCUUCUGCCCCAAGUUCUGAAUCCCUCAAUGAUGAGAGCUCGGAGUCAACUUCGUCCACAAGUGUUUCUCCAAUUCCAUUGUCUAGCAACACAAUCUUGGUGGACAAAGUAGAGGAGAAUUACAACUGGAAUCCAAGUUACAUGAAUCUCACAGAGUCAACUAAGGCCAAGCAAAAAGGAUGCAAGCAUUAUUCUUCUCAAGAUAUGCUAAGGCAGACGAUGGAGAAUCAGUUUUAUAUGUUGUCAAUGCCACUUUCCAAUGGAGAUGCCAAGAGCAGUGCUGGUUCCAAUCCUUCAUUUAAACCGAGCAGGGAUCUUUACCCACCAAUACCUUUGGGUAUACAUGAUGAGCUGAGAAAUCGACGACACUAAGUCAGCAUACUUCAUUGAUGAGUUCAACUGCUUGUUGCCCUUAACAAUUCUGAAGCCAUUCAAGUGAAGUAUCAAAACUAGUUGAUAUAUAUAUACAUACUUGUAGUUGGAAUGAUUGUGAUUGUAGAAUAGAAACCAGCUAAUUAAUUUGCACUGUGUUGCGUUGUGUCUACCAACUUCAUCUCAUGGAACCAAAAUGUUCUGAAAAAGCUAGUAAACUAAGAUAUGGAUUUUUGAGUACUCAAAAGUCAUAGUGAGCGUGUUUCACUGAUUUCGUGUUUGUAAUUGUAAUGAUUCAAUCAAGGUUUAAGAGUGAUCAUUGUUUUCUGUAAUAAUGCAUAUCGUGCACAAAAAGGAUUUCCUUAUUUCAUGAAUACUAUCUGUAGGAUAGUUACAUUAUCACAGGAAUGGAAACUCAUUAUAGCAGCG
rnacentral:misc_RNA from 1 species